GAUGAACGCUGGCGGCGUGCCUAAUACAUGCAAGUCGAGCGAACAGACGAGGAGCUUGCUCCUCUGACGUUAGCGGCGGACGGGUGAGUAACACGUGGAUAACCUACCUAUAAGACUGGGAUAACUUCGGGAAACCGGAGCUAAUACCGGAUAAUAUAUUGAACCGCAUGGUUCAAUAGUGAAAGACGGUUUUGCUGUCACUUAUAGAUGGAUCCGCGCCGCAUUAGCUAGUUGGUAAGGUAACGGCUUACCAAGGCGACGAUGCGUAGCCGACCUGAGAGGGUGUUCGGCCACACUGGAACUGAGACACGGUCCAGACUCCUACGGGAGGCAGCAGUAGGGAAUCUUCCGCAAUGGGCGAAAGCCUGACGGAGCAACGCCGCGUGAGUGAUGAAGGUCUUCGGAUCGUAAAACUCUGUUAUUAGGGAAGAACAAAUGUGUAAGUAACUAUGCUCGUCUUGACGGUACCUAAUCAGAAAGCCACGGCUAACUACGUG
rnacentral:rRNA from 1 species